rnacentral:rRNA from 1 species
GAUGAACGCUGGCGGCGUGCCUAAUACACGCAAGUCGAGCGAACAGACGAGGAGCUUGCUCCUCUGACGUUAGCGGCGGACGGGUGAGUAACACGUGGAUAACCUACCUAUAAGACUGGGAUAACUUCGGGAAACCGGAGCUAAUACCGGAUAAUAUAUUGAACCGCAUGGUUCAAUAGUGAAAGACGGUUUUGCUGUCACUUAUAGAUGGAUCCGCGCCGCAUUAGCUAGUUGGUAAGGUAACGGCUUACCAAGGCAACGAUGCGUAGCCGACCUGAGAGGGUGAUCGGCCACACUGGAACUGAGACACGGUCCAGACUCCUACGGGAGGCAGCAGUAGGGAAUCUUCUGCAAUGGGCGAAAGCCUGACGGAGCAACGCCGCGUGAGUGAUGAAGGUCUUCGGAUCGUAAAACUCUGUUAUUAGGGAAGAACAAAUGUGUAAGUAACUAUGCACGUCUUGACGGUACCUAAUCAGAAAGCCACGGCUAACUACGUG